ACAACACAGAAGUGUCACACACAACUUCUGCUUCCACUGCGCUGCACUGAUUGAAAUAUUCAGAAAUGUCAUAGCUCAGUGUUUCUGCCGUGACAGCUUCAUACAGUUAUCCGGACUCAUUCAAAGUUUCCUCCUCUCAAAUCUCCGCGACGAUCUCCCGGAUUCCAACUGGCAGUUGUUGGUGUUUUACAAAAAACAGUCACCUGAAGUCAGAUGAACAAAAAAAGUGACAAAACAGGACAGAGGAUUCUCUUUGUUCACGAAAAAUGAUUUACUGUUGGGAGUGAACAGAAGACGAGAAACAUAUUAAUAAAGAUGCCUUCACUGUCCUGUGGAAUGGAGAGUCUGAAGUGAUGGAGAACAGAGAGGAGAGCCCUGCAGAUGAGCAGGGCCCCACACCUCCAGAGCGAGGUCUGCUCCACUUCUGGCAGUCAAAGGGCCCCAGUGCACAGCUCUGUCCAGAGAGAGUGCUGCUGUCCAGGCCUGUUCUGCAGGCCGCUCUGGGUGAACA